AGAAACAAUGAUCUCCUCAUGCUGGUUCCUCUGGCUCCUGGUGCCCUGGGCCUGGGGGUCCUGUGCAGCCAUUUUGCUGACCCAGUCUCCAGAUGCACUGUCUGUUGCUCCUGGACAAAGAGUCACCAUCACCUGCAGAGCCAGUCAGGUUAUUUAUGCUAAUGUAGUCUGGUAUCAGCAGCCACCAGGACAGUCUCCCAAGCUCCUGAUCUAUGAUGCUUCCACUCUGCCCUCGGGGGCCCCUGCCCACUUCAGUGGCAGUGGGUCUGGGACAGAUUUUACUCUCACAAUCAGCAGUGUGGAGGCUGAAGAUGUUGGGCAUGACCACUGUCAGCAUUAUGAUGAGGACCCUAACCCACAGUGGUGCCCGCCUGAAGAAAAACCUCCCCAAGCUGUUGAGAUCUUCAGCUCAGGAGACCAGCUGCUUCCUCCAGAGCCACCACAGAGCCCUGGGGAGGGCUGGGCCCAACAGCCCAGUUGUGGGGACCACAGAUCCAGUCUAUCAGAUCCUAGAAAGGGCUAGGGAGUGGAAAGAAGGAAGAGGAGAGAGAACCUUCUAU